UUUUUUUUUUUUUUGUAUUUAGGGCCACACCUGUGACAUAUGGAACUCCCACUGUGAAUAUUUUAAUGUGUUUCUUUAUAAAAUAUGAGGUCAAAAUCUCAAUGGACAUCAUGGUUUGCAUUCCUUUUCUUCUCUUAAAAUUAUGAAUUAGUCAUUAUACCCUAUUACUAUCCCCAUUGGCUAUUUCAAAUGCCUAACACUUUCAGCUCAAAUUUACAUUUGGAAUGAAAAAUAAAUCAAAACAUGAUAAUUUGAAAUAAAGAAGAAAAAAGUGGCAACAUUUAGGAACAGAAUAAAAGAAAUGUAGAUGUUUUACCUGUGAACAUAGUUUCCCAAAGUAGCACUGAGGAACUGUUUGCCUGAAAACUAAUUCAUACAUCUAAACAACAGAUGCUGUGACUUUUCAAAUGCAUAAUGCCAUACCUUUAUCAAUUUCUGCAUUUUCAAUUAAAUCUCUAGAGAAUAAAAUUGAUCACUGCAUUCCAAGAAGUACAUAAUUGAAUCACAAGGUAAGACUUGAUUGAAUAGGAAAUUGACUUAGUUCACUAAAUUGGAAGUAUCACAUUGACUUAAAAAGAAAAAACACUGAAAUAAGUGACAAAAGGACUGCUUCAAAAUUCACCUACUGAAAGGCAAUCAGACUCUGGGAAUUAUAACAGAUAUAUAAACUAUAUUAAAAUACAUAUAAGAUGUUACCAAUACAAGAAAACUAGCUAGUUCUACAGUCAAGUUUAGUGGAAAGAGGCAAUAACUUUGGGCAACAAUUUUGGUUUUUGAGUUUGGAUGAAAUCACUACAUUUAGAUUUUUUUUGUAAACAGUGUUAAGAUUCAUUGGAAAAACUCAACUGAUUUAAGAAAAAUGCUGAUUAAGUUCAAAUUAUAUAUGGACUUAAUCAUAAUAUGUCAUAUCCCUAAGAUGCAUUUUAUCUAACUAUAAACAUCCACUAUACAAAUGUAUGUUCUUAGGAGAAGGCUGAUCAGAUAAGAGCACGUAGAUAAAUUAUUAUUACCAUUUUAUACAGCAGAGUAGGAAUUGUAAGAAAAGUAAAGGAUUAUUUCUGUUUAAAUAUUGGAAGCCCUGAGUCCAAAGGGAUUUACAUGAAAAAAAGGAACAGACUGUAUGUUAGCUCCAAGGUAUCAGUUGAUGCAGAGGCUCAAAGGAUGCCAUCUGAACUUAGGUACUAUCUCAUAGGUUUCUUUUAGAUGGAUCCAUUCAGAUAGGCUUUCCCUUAAUGACCAAAAGAUGACUAAAAUCUAAUGGCCUCUUAGCCUCUUACUUUCAAGCCUAACAGGAAAAAUAAAGAUUCUUUUUCCAGGAUUCUCAAUCAGAGAUUCGCUUUUCUCUUUGGUCCUGAUUGGUCCAGGAAGACAUUCUUGCCUUGGGUGUUAGGAGUAUGUGAUGUAUUAAUAAGCACAGGACUAAAUCUCAUGUCCACUCCUGCUGAGGGUUGAGUAUGUGUUGAUUUUAAAGAAAGAAAUUGUGAAACGGUGAAACGGACAAGAGUUCUAUUAUACAGUUUAGCGAAUUGAUGAAAAUUGCUUUUAUUAUGGGGGUGUCAUUUAAAAGAAAAACGAUGCCUUUCUAAAUUUACCAUAAAAUGGCUUUUUUUUUUCUUUAUAUGGCUGCAUCUGAGGCAUAUGGAAAUUCGUGGGCUAAGGGUUGGGCCACAUCCACAGCAACACCACAUCCAAGCCACAUCUGUGGCCUGUGUCACAGCUUGCCGCAACGCUGGAUCCUUAAGCCACUGAGUGAGGCCGGGGUUGGAACUGACAUCUUCACGGAGAAUAUGGCAGAUCCUUAACUUGCUGAGCCACAAUGGGAACUCAAUAAAAUGGCAUUUUAUCAUUCAGGAAAUUGUAGCACAAUUGAUUAUGAGUGUGUGUGUGUGUGUGUGUGUGUAUGUGUGUGUGUGUGUGUGUGAUGGGUACCUGAUAGCAGAAGAAUAGGUCCAUGAAAGGAGCUCCAUUUUAGGAAUUGUUAAAAUUAUGAGAAAUUUUUCUGGCUUAUUUGGAAUCCUGCCAUAUUCCCAAGUCACACUUCCCUUAGAGAAAAAUGACUGCCUGAAAGCAUAAGACUUCUGUGGCCCAUGGGGGAAGCUUGCCAGGAGGAAUGUGUGUGUUUGCCAGGAUGUGUGGUCAGAGAGUCAUUCUACUGAGGGGGAAAAAAAAAUGCUGGCAUCAGAUCAAUCCAAGACUGCUGAGGAGAUGGAGAUAUAUGUCCUGGAAGAAUCACAAAUCUCCAUCAAAGUUUCAAGUCUCCUGUUGAGUUGUUAAGAGAUACCAGAUUUACCGAGGAACAGACUGAAUUUAUGAAUGAGUCUCGCCAAUAAGGAUAAACUCUAAACAUAGUAUUUAAAAUCAAUCGUUUGUUUUUAUAGAACCAUUGUGGUAGUAAAUAUGUUGUAUUCCUCAAAUUACUGACCUCAAUCCCAACUUCGAUAAUGAUUAACCAAAUCCUGAAUACUAAACAUCAUGGGUAAGUUCAAGGUCCUUCCCUCCUUUUUAAACAAUUAUAUAAUUUACACAAAUAUUUAAAAUAUUGGUAUAUGUAGUGCAUAUUUAUAUAGGAGUAUAUAUAGUGUAAUAUAUAUUAUAUAGUGAGAGAGAAAGAGAAAGAGUAUAUUUUAGAGAUUUAAGAUAAGAUCUUACUCUUCUACUUCCUAAGCAUUUAAUUUUUGGACUAGUUACAUUAGUCACUCAUAAUAUACUCUUAUCACUAAAAAUAUGAAAAAAUUCCAAUUAAGUUGUUUAAAUGUAAAAUACGCUAAUGAAUGCAAUAUCUUGUAGAAAGUAUGUGUCAAAUAAGUGAUGCUGGGUUUGUUGAUGAUGGAGGAAGCAAAGUUGAUUAUGAUUUUAGCUAAUAUUUAAAAAAAAUAAUUCUCCACUUCACCUAUAGUCCAUCUUUAUGAGAUAUUGUCAUUAAUCAUUAAAAAGUUCACCUACACUUUCUAAAAGGAAAUAUUCAAAUUUCUUUAUUUACCUCAUUACUUAGAUUAGAACUGGGUAUACAGUUGGUAUAUAUAUGCCUUAUUGAAUUAAUGUCUAAAUCUUUACAUUUUUUAUAUUGUGUAUUUGUGUAUUGUGUAUUACCACACACAUUUGAUGAGGACUAGGUAAGAAGAAUAGAGUGGACUCCAAGGGCUAAUUAUUCACUCAGUGAUAUAAGAAAUAAUAUAUACUAAGACCUAAAGCCAAUGAUGAAUGGAGACCAACUCAAUGACAUGAAACAAUAAAUAGAUUAAAAAAUAUGAUAUAUGGAGUUCCCAUUGUGGCACAGUGGAAAUGAAUCUGACUAGUUACCAUGAGGUUGUAGAUUCGAUUCCUGGCCUCACUCAGUGGGUUAAGGAUCAAGAGUUGCUGUGAGCUGUGAUAUAGGUCACAAAUGCUGCUUGGAUCCUGUGUUGCUAUGGCUGUGGCAUAGGCCAGCAGCUACAGCUCCAAUUUGACCCCUAGCCUUGGAACUUCCAUAUGCCCUGGGUAUGACCCUAAAAAGCAAAAAAUAAAAACAAAAAUAAAUAAAUAAAUAUAUGAUAUAUUCAUAAAAUGAAACUUUUUGUCAAUAAAGUUUGUCCAAGUAAGAAAACACAUAGAAAUAGAAAGUAGAUUAGUGGUUUCCAGGGGUGAAGGGGAAAGGGGAAGGGGAAGUAAUUGCUAAUGAUUACCUCUUGGGAGAAACAUUUGGGAAAUAGACAGCUAUGAUGCUUGGACAACUCUAUGAAUAUAUUAAAAUGAUUGUAUACCUAAAAGGGGUGAAAUACAUGGGACAUGAACUUCAUCUCAAUAAAGUUGUUAUUGAAAAGAAAUAAAUCAGAAGAAAGGUAAAGAAGACCAAAGAAGAAAAGGCUGAGAUGCCAAUAGUUUAGGAAAUUAUAGGGAGUUCCCAUCAUGACUCAGCAGUUAAUGAACCCGACUAGGAUCCACGAGGAUGAGGGUUCGAUCCCUGGCCUCACUCAGUGGAUUAAGAAUCCAGUGUUGCAUGUAGAGUAGGUUGCAGGUGCGGCUCAGAUCCUGCAUUGCUGUGGUUGUGGCAAAUGUGGGCAGCUGUAGCUCUGAUUCCACCCCUGGCCUGAGAACUUCCACAUGCUGCAGGUGUGGCCCUAAAAAGCAAAAAAAAAAAAAAAAAAAAAA
rnacentral:lncRNA from 1 species